UACGGAGGGGGCAAGCGUUGUUCGGAAUUACUGGGCGUAAAGGGCUCGUAGGUGGCCAACUAAGUCAGACGUGAAAUCCCUCGGCUUAACCGGGGAACUGCGUCUGAUACUGGAUGGCUUGAGUUUGGGAGAGGGAUGCGGAAUUCCAGGUGUAGCGGUGAAAUGCGUAGAUAUCUGGAGGAACACCGGUGGCGAAGGCGGCAUCCUGGACCAACACUGACACUGAGGAGCGAAAGCCAGGGGAGCAAAGCGGG
rnacentral:rRNA from 1 species